UACAGAGGUCUCAAGCGUUGUUCGGAUUUACUGGGCGUAAAGGGCGCGUAGGCGGCGCAAUAAGUCACUUGUGAAAUCUCCGGGCUUAACUCGGAGCGGCCAAGUGAUACUGUUGUGCUAGAGUGCAGAAAGGGCAAUCGGAAUUCUCGGUGUAGCGGUGAAAUGCGUAGAUAUCGAGAGGAACACCUGAGGCGAAGGCGGGUUGCUAGGCUGACACUGACGCUGAGUGCGCGAAAGCUAGGGUAGCAAACGGG
rnacentral:rRNA from 1 species